UACGGAGGGGGCUAGCGUUGUUCGGAAUUACUGGGCGUAAAGCGCACGUAGGCGGCUUUGUAAGUUAGAGGUGAAAGCCCGGGGCUCAACUCCGGAAUUGCCUUUAAGACUGCAUCGCUAGAAUUGUGGAGAGGUAAGUGGAAUUCCGAGUGUAGAGGUGAAAUUCGUAGAUAUUCGGAAGAACACCAGUGGCGAAGGCGGCUAACUGGUCCAGUACUGACGCUGAGGUGCGAAAGCGUGGGGAGCAAACAGG
rnacentral:rRNA from 1 species